AUUGAACGCUGGCGGCAUGCUUUACACAUGCAAGUCGAACGGUAACAGGUUAAGCUGACGAGUGGCGAACGGGUGAGUAAUGCAUCGGAACGUGCCCGGUCGUGGGGGAUAACGCAGCGAAAGCUGCGCUAAUACCGCAUACGAUCGGAGGAUGAAAGCGGGGGACCGUAAGGCCUCGCGCGAUCGGAGCGGCCGAUGUCAGAUUAGGUAGUUGGUGGGGUAAAGGCUAACCAAGCCGACGAUCUGUAGCUGGUCUGAGAGGACGACCAGCCACACUGGGACUGAGACACGGCCCAGACUCCUACGGGAGGCAGCAGUGGGGAAUUUUGGACAAUGGGCGCAAGCCUGAUCCAGCAAUGCCGCGUGCAGGAAGAAGGCCUUCGGGUUGUAAACUGCUUUUGUACGGAGCGAAAAGGCUCUCUCUAAUACAGGGGGCUCAUGACGGUACCGUAAGAAUAAGCACCGGCUAACUACGUGCCAGCAGCCGCAGUAA
rnacentral:rRNA from 1 species